UGGUGUUGUAUUUAUAGUCCUCUACCCUAUUGUACUUGCAUAGAAUAUUCUCGAUGUGCUUUGUUGUAUACAAUAUUGUGCUGUGUUUAAACUGUUAUACAAUUGACGGAUUGAAUAUUCUGGAACUGUCAGACAAUAGAGAGAAUGAAAAGGUAAAUAAACAAUCGUUGGAUUGUGUUCGGUCUGGAAAGAUCGAAAGGUAAGUUGAUUGCUUAUGAUGAAAUUAUAAUGGUUUACUGAUGUUUUCUGUUUUGUUUCAGGUAUGCUCGAUUGGUAUGCUCUACAGGUAAGUAGUUUCAGUGGUGGAAGUGGUGAAUUCGAAGUGUUUGUGGCCAGCAGCAUGA